GACGAACGCUGGCGGCGUGCUUAACACAUGCAAGUCGAACGAAGUGGCGAACGGGUGAGUAACGCGUAAUCAACCUGCCCUUCAGAGGGGGACAACAGUUGGAAACGACUGCUACUACCGCAUACUGAAGGAGGGGAUUGCGUCUGAUUAGGUAGUUGGAGGGGUAACGGCCCAACACGGGGAUGAUUAGUAGCGGGUCUUGGAGAAGGAACGGCCACAAUUGGACUGAGAAACGGCCCAGAAUCCUACGGGAGGCAGCAGGGGGGAAUCUGCCGCAAUGGACGAAAGUCUGACGGAGCAACGCCGCGGGAGUGAUGACGGCCUUCGGGUUGUAAAGCUCUGUUAAGCGGGACGCGGUACCGGAAUAGAAAGCCACGGCUAACUACGUGCCAGCAGCCGCGGUAAUUC
rnacentral:rRNA from 1 species